GUUGUAUGGUUAAGUGACUAAGCGUACACGGUGGAUGCCUUGGCAGUCAGAGGCGAUGAAAGACGUAGUAACUUGCGAUAAGCCCAGAUUAGGUAGUAACAACCAUUUGAGUCUGGGAUUUCUGAAUGGGGAAACCCACGUGCAUAAGCACGUAUCCUUACCUGAAUACAUAGGGUAAGGAGGCGAACCGGGGGAACUGAAACAUCUAAGUACCCCGAGGAAAAGAAAUCAACCGAGAUUCCGAAAGUAGCGGCGAGCGAAAUUGGACUAGCCCUUAAGCUUUACACGCGUUAGACGAACGGUCUGGAAAGUCCGACGAUACAGGGUGAUAGUCCCGUAGUUGACGACGUGUGUUCAGUGAAAUCGAGUAGGGCGGGACACGUGAUAUCCUGUCUGAAUAUGGGGGGACCAUCCUCCAAGGCUAAAUACUACUGACUGACCGAUAGUGAACCAGUACCGUGAGGGAAAGGCGAAAAGAACCCCUGUGAGGGGAGUGAAAUAGAACCUGAAACCGUGUACGUACAAGCAGUAGGAGCAGGCUUGUCCUGUGACUGCGUACCUUUUGUAUAAUGGGUCAGCGACUUAUAUUCAGUGGCAAGGUUAACCAUCUAGGGGAGCCGUAGGGAAACCGAGUCUUAACUGGGCGUUCAGUCUCUGGAUAUAGACCCGAAACCAGGUGAUCUAGCCAUGGGCAGGUUGAAGGUUGAGUAACAUCAACUGGAGGACCGAACCGACUAAUGUUGAAAAAUUAGCGGAUGACUUGUGGCUAGGGGUGAAAGGCCAAUCAAACCUGGAGAUAGCUGGUUCUCCCCGAAAGCUAUUUAGGUAGCGCCUCGGACGAAUACUACUGGGGGUAGAGCACUGUUAAGGCUAGGGGGUCAUCCCGACUUACCAACCCUUUGCAAACUCCGAAUACCAGUAAGUACUAUCCGGGAGACACACGGCGGGUGCUAACGUCCGUCGUGGAGAGGGAAACAACCCAGACCGCCAGCUAAGGUCCCAAAUUACUACUAAGUGGGAAACGAUGUGGGAAGGCUCAGACAGCCAGGAUGUUGGCUUAGAAGCAGCCAUCAUUUAAAGAAAGCGUAAUAGCUCACUGGUCGAGUCGGCCUGCGCGGAAGAUGUAACGGGGCUAAGUAGUAAACCGAAGCUGCGGCAAUGUGCUUUUGCACAUUGGGUAGGGGAGCGUUCUGUAAGCGGUUGAAGGUGUGUGGUAACGCAUGCUGGACGUAUCAGAAGUGCGAAUGCUGACAUGAGUAACGAUAAAGGGGGUGAAAAACCUCCUCGCCGGAAGACCAAGGGUUCCUGUCCAACGUUAAUCGGGGCAGGGUAAGUCGACCCCUAAGGCGAGGCCGAAAGGCGUAGUCGAUGGGAAACGGGUUAAUAUUCCCGUACUUCUUACAAUUGCGAUGGGGGGACGGAGAAGGCUAGGUGGGCCUGGCGACGGUUGUCCAGGUUCAAGUGCGUAGGCUUAAGAGUUAGGUAAAUCCGGCUCUUUCUAAGGCUGAGACACGACGUCGAGCACCUACGGGUGUGAAGUCAUUGAUGCCAUGCUUCCAGGAAAAGCCUCUAAGCUUCAGAUUGUAAGGAAUCGUACCCCAAACCGACACAGGUGGUCGGGUAGAGAAUACCAAGGCGCUUGAGAGAACUCGGGUGAAGGAACUAGGCAAAAUGGUACCGUAACUUCGGGAGAAGGUACGCUCUUGAUGGUGAAGUCCCUUGCGGAUGGAGCUGACGAGAGUCGCAGAUACCAGGUGGCUGCAACUGUUUAUUAAAAACACAGCACUGUGCAAAAUCGUAAGAUGACGUAUACGGUGUGACGCCUGCCCGGUGCCGGAAGGUUAAUUGAUGGGGUUAGACUUCGGUCGAAGCUCUUGAUCGAAGCCCCGGUAAACGGCGGCCGUAACUAUAACGGUCCUAAGGUAGCGAAAUUCCUUGUCGGGUAAGUUCCGACCUGCACGAAUGGCGUAAUGAUGGCCACGCUGUCUCCACCCGAGACUCAGUGAAAUUGAAAUCGCUGUGAAGAUGCAGUGUACCCGCGGCUAGACGGAAAGACCCCGUGAACCUUUACUACAGCUUGGCACUGAACAUUGACCCUACAUGUGUAGGAUAGGUGGGAGGCUUUGAAGCACGUACGCCAGUAUGUGUGGAGCCGUCCUUGAAAUACCACCCUUGUAGUGUUGAUGUUCUAACGUCGACCCCUAAUCGGGGUUGCGGACAGUGCCUGGUGGGUAGUUUGACUGGGGCGGUCUCCUCCCAAAGAGUAACGGAGGAGCACGAAGGUGGGCUAAUCACGGUUGGACAUCGUGAGGUUAGUGCAAUGGCAUAAGCCCGCUUGACUGCGAGAAUGACAAUUCGAGCAGGUGCGAAAGCAGGUCAUAGUGAUCCGGUGGUUCUGAAUGGAAGGGCCAUCGCUCAACGGAUAAAAGGUACUCCGGGGAUAACAGGCUGAUACCGCCCAAGAGUUCAUAUCGACGGCGGUGUUUGGCACCUCGAUGUCGGCUCAUCACAUCCUGGGGCUGAAGUCGGUCCCAAGGGUAUGGCUGUUCGCCAUUUAAAGUGGUACGCGAGCUGGGUUUAGAACGUCGUGAGACAGUUCGGUCCCUAUCUGCCGUGGGCGUUGGAAGAUUGAAGGGGGCUGCUCCUAGUACGAGAGGACCGGAGUGGACGAACCUCUGGUGUUCGGGUUGUGUCGCCAGACGCAUUGCCCGGUAGCUAAGUUCGGAAUCGAUAACCGCUGAAAGCAUCUAAGCGGGAAGCGAGCCCUGAGAUGAGUCUUCCCUGAUACUUUAAGUAUCCUAAAGGGUUGUCGGAGACUACGACGUUGAUAGGUCAGGUGUGUAAGUGCUGUGAGGCAUUGAGCUAACUGAUACUAAUUGCCCGUGAGGCUUAACCAUACAACACCCAAGGGGUUU
rnacentral:rRNA from 1 species